CCUACGUGAGACAGCAGUGGGGAAUAUUGCACAAUGGGGGAAACCCUGAUGCAGCGACGCCGCGUGAAUGAAGAAGUAUUUCGGUAUGUAAAGCUCUAUCAGCAGGGAAGAAAAUGACGGUACCUGAGUAAGAAGCCCCGGCUAACUACGUGCCAGCAGCCGCGGUAAUACGGAGGGGGCAAGCGUUAUCCGGAUUUACUGGGUGUAAAGGGAGCGUAGACGGCAGUGCAAGUCUGAAGUGAAAGGCGGGGGCUCAACCCCCGGACUGCACUGGAAACUGUACGGCUGGAGUGCAGGAGAGGUAAGUGGAAUUCCUAGUGUAGCGGUGAAAUGCGUAGAUAUUAGGAGGAACACCAGGGGCGAAGGCGGCUUACUGGACUGUAACUGACGUUGAGGCGCGAAAGCGUGGGGAGCAAACAGGAUUAGAUACCCUUGUAGUC
rnacentral:rRNA from 1 species